rnacentral:rRNA from 1 species
UACGUAGGUGGCAAGCGUUGUCCGGAUUUACUGGGCGUAAAGAGCGCGUAGGCGGUCGCUCAAGUCGCGUGUGAAAGCCCCCGGCUCAACUGGGGAGGGUCACGCGAUACUGAUCGACUGGAAGGCAGGAGAGGGUAGUGGAAUUCCCGGUGUAGUGGUGAAAUGCGUAGAUAUCGGGAGGAACACCAGUGGCGAAGGCGACUACCUGGCCUGUUCUUGACGCUGAGGCGCGAAAGCUAGGGGAGCAAACGGG